rnacentral:piRNA from 1 species
UGCCUUUCUGUCUUCUUCGUCUAUCAGU